rnacentral:lncRNA from 1 species
CGGCGAGCCGCUGCCUGCACGCCCGCCGGGGCCCGCCGCGGAACUCGGGCUUUGAGGCGCUUUUAUGGUUUAUUUUCUGCUUCUGUAAAUAAAAUCCCCAACAGACACCGUCCAGCAGACGGGCGUGGCCAGGGCGUACGCGUCCCGGUUUUCGUUUCCAGGCAGCGCCUCGGGAUUCACGAUGUGAAUCAUGCUGCUGUUUGACAUGUAAACAGCAGUAAAAGCCGCUCUCUUUCUAAACACUGGGAGUUUAAAAGUGGCUGAACCUGAUGGGCCAGUGCACCGGGAUCCCCCGCAGGGGUCCGCCUUUUGGAGGAUCUUUGCCACCGGGAGCAGCUUCCUGGGAAACCCCCGCGGGGAGCCGCGUGUGACCCGGGAUGGGCGGAGAGGGAUUCACCUGUCCUGUGCCUUGGCCAUGCCCCAGCAAGCCCCGAUGCCGGGAUGUGUCGUAAUUUUAGAGUUCGCUAAUGAGCUUGCCUGUACGCCCUGCGCACCCUGUGUGCCUGGGGAUUGGCAGUUCAGGCUGGUAAUCCUGCUAACCUGGCCUUGGCAGGCGGGGAUGGCUCCUUUCAGUGUUCUGGGAUUGAGAUCUGGCUUCUUGCUGUGCACAGGGAAUGGCCGUGGAUGAGUAAAAUGAGGGAGAAAAUGAUCUUUGCUAACCCUUUUCCAUUCUGCCUUGGUGGUGCUUGUCUGCAUGCUUCCCUCUGCUAGCUCAGGUGGAUCCAACGUUUGCUGGAUACUCCGAGUGCAGCAGACAGCUGAGAUGUGCAUUGUUGGAAUCCAGAGGGUUUUGUAAUUUGGCAACCGCUCGCUGAAAGCCCUGCAGAUACAAAACAACACUUAUUUCAAGUCUUGAGAAACAUCUCCUACUAAGUAGAAGAAAAAAGCAUUUAGUGGGAUCCUCAAGCUGUAUGCAAAAUGCAAGGAGACGUGCCUGGAAAUGCAUUAUCCAAGGGACACAGAAACAGCUUUUUGACAGGCUGCUCUUCCUGCUAACACCUGGUAAAUGCAGAGACCUGGCUCCAUGCAGCAGAGCUUGCAGCAGUGACAAGCUGUUAUCCCAAGGAAAACUGCUUGUGCCUGUGGCCUGGGUUAACCUGCUGGCAGUGAUACGUGCCUGGGCAGGGGCAGCUGUUUCACACAGCUCAGCAUGGACGUGUUGCCACUCCCAGCCACUUUUAGGACACAGUGUGGAUGGCAGUAAUUCAUGGUCCCUGUACAGUCCUGUGGGGUUUCUGGGACAACAAAGACCGAGGAACCUCUGACUUGCUCUCUGUGGAUCUGUCUUAAGGAGAGGUAGCCACAGUACCAGUUUUGAACCAAGGUUCAAAAUACAGGCCUGUCAGCAGUCUCCUGAUCCUGAGAGACCCUUCACUAAUACUUGUAAGGAUUGUGUACUCUUAUAUUCACCUUCUGCUCUGGGACAGUUUGUGCCAAUGAGAUCUGGGGACAAACAUUGCUGAUGGAGACUGGGAGUAGGUUGGAGCUGAGCUUUCCAGCAUCCAGUAGGAGGGUAUAAAAUUAACUACUCCAUUUGGGCAGAUUAAAAACAAAUCUUUCAUGCAUGAAUUCUGCCUUUGCGAAAAUGUCUGUUAGUUCUGAUUGUUGGCACAAGUAUUACCAUAGUAUCAGUCUAAUCUCAUAUGACAUAUUUAAGGAUUUGCAGCAGAAGGGUGGAGUUACCAGUGCAAAUUUCUUGGCUGAUUUAUCUCUGGUGACAAUUGUCCUGCUCUGCUUUAUAUCAGCUUUUCAGAACAAAUCAAGGGGUUUUGAGUAUAAAGCAACAUUUCUUUAGAUUUCAAAUAAUAUUUUUUUAAAAGCAAAGCGAGUAGAAACAGAAGUAGAGACUCUAACAGAACCAGAGUACAUGUAGUAUGUAUCCCUUGUAAAUAUUUCAGUGCUAAGGCAACUAAGCAGUGACACUUUGCACACAAAGGGCCUGAGAAAUGUAAAGGUACACGGCCAACAAAACAUUCGGAUCCUCCCUGCAACACUAGAGUCUUUUAGUGCAAAUGACUGUGUUCAAUUAAGUCACACAAGGAACAUUUCUUCAGGCUCAAGACAAAGUGUGUACUUGCAUGUCUUAGAGAGGAUCCUGCACUGUCCACAAUGAAGUUUUACUGAUUUAUAACAGCAAAUAAACAUCCUGUCAUUUUAAGAAAUAUCA